rnacentral:rRNA from 1 species
GUCCACGCCGUAAACGAUGGAUACUAGCUGUUGGGAGCAAUCUCAGUGGCUAAGCGAAAGUGAUAAGUAUCCCACCUGGGGAGUACGUUCGCAAGAAUGAAACUCAAAGGAAUUGACGGGGGCCCGCACAAGCGGUGGAGCAUGUGGUUUAAUUCGAUGAUACGCGAGGAACCUUACCAAGGCUUAAAUGUAGAUUGACAGUUGGGAAACAUGACUUUCUUCGGACAAUUUACAAGGUGCUGCAUGGUUGUCGU